rnacentral:lncRNA from 1 species
UAGACAGCUUCACAAGCUCGUUCAAGUGCAGCAGUGGCACUUCACUGCAUCCUCAUGGACUCCACUUCAGAGCUGGCCAAGCUGCAUUGAGCCUUUGCAAGAGGCUGCAGACAGGCUGAUCCAGCAUCACACAGAUGAUCGGUUGAGGACUUUCAACAUAGAUCAUCAUAAUCCGUCCAAUGACAGUGAUGCUACUGCCAGCUUGCAUUGGAGAGUUACAAUGAAAGCUCUCCUCAUCUGGCCCUUCACCAGAGGACAAAUAGGAGACAGGAUAAGCACCGCCUCACACCCACAGCUACAACAAUUUCAUGGAAAAGCGAGAGACUGCAUUUUAUGCUUUUUGUUUAUCAGUUUUGCCUAAAAGUUGCAGGCAUGCAAAGUCUGACUGCAGCCUGACUUCCAGAAGUGACUUCUGCAGAUUGUGCUAAAGCUUUGCCUCUCCUGCCCAAGUCAAACAUCUCAGGCUUCUGAAACAAAACACUAAUUACAUGAUCACUUACAAAUGUCUCAUUAACAUAUAUUGAAGCAUAUUUCAAUGUAUAUGUAGUGUGUAUUUUACAUGUGUAUGUAAUGCAUAUAAAGAAAGAGCAGCUGUAGUCUCCUCU